rnacentral:lncRNA from 1 species
AAGGGGAACAUAGCAUAGCCAGUUAUCUCUCCAAAAAAGAGUCCUUUUGCCAUUACACCACAUACUUGCACAUCUCCUAAUAGGUCUCCAGCUGAAUGAGAGUCUCAUCUUUCUAUGAUAAGCAUGUUGUACUUGUUUCUUCCAAAGAUCUGAGUCACAUGAGAGCAUUCUCCAAUCCUAUUUAGCCAAGAGUGAUUUAUUGAGUUGCAAAAUAUCUUUCACUCUCAAACCUCUUUCAUCC